rnacentral:ncRNA from 2 species
GUUAAAAGAAGAGGUGCGAUGUUCAAGAGUCGCUGCUGUGAAGUCCAUCAGGAUUGACGAUCAGUAGUUAAAGGGGACGUUGCCGAAGCUAGGGUACGCUGAUGAGUACGCUGGUUGGGACCUGUCUUAAGAGGGCAGGAACUGUCGCAACGAUGUGUUGCGGAGCGCUUCCUACGUU